rnacentral:tmRNA from 1 species
GGGGACGAAAGGGUUCGACAGGGAAGGAUGGUCCUGAGUUGCAGGCCGAGGAUGCCAGCUUCCUCGUAAAUCCGUUGGCAAACAAAUGUAAAUGGCGAGCGACAAGAACUCGCCCUCGCUGCUUAAACAGUAGCGACGUCGGCCCGGGGUUUUCCCGGCGUUCUGGAGCCGGCGCCGAUUAGCCGGGGUGCUCCAAUCCUGAUGUCGAUACGGAUUGGCUAAGAUCAUCGACUGGCUCGUGCGAGACCCCGCCGGUGGGGGCUUGUAUGGGUGAGAGCCAAAGCGCCGGAUACGUUCUG